GAUAAGGUUGUUUAUUUAGUGAGAUGAGGAUUAAACCUUUCUUGGGGUUGUUCGGAUUGGAUACGGACUUUCUGCCAAUUCUGUUUCCCAUAAACUCGUUUAAAGGGCUAACCACAUGAAAUUUGUUAGCGUACCCAAAAUUAUAGUUUUUUUAGGGACAGAAUUAGUAAAACUUGGUUUUAGUAGAACAGGCAAAGAACUUUGGUCAAGGAGGCUAGCUUCCUCUUCCUGGAGAUUGGAUCUGCCAAUCCUGACCAAAUUUUGAAUUGUACAGACCCACAAUGCAUUUCAACAAAGCCAAACACAAUGUCAGAAUCAUACAGAUUUAUGCAAGGUAACCUGACAUAAAAGUCAGUACUCUACAAUGGUGACAGUCAUACUAAUGUACAAUUUGUAAAAAUCGAAUGCAAAGCUUGGUCUGCAUCUUUUGGCAAAUAGCAUAAGGUUGAUGUUUCUAAUCCUGUACAUGGUACUUUGGAAUCACCUUCUUCAUUGAAUUUUGAGGCCUGAAAUUGAUGUUUAAGAACGUGUUAGAAAUUAAGGACAGCUGCAUGCUAAAUCUUAUCACAGAGGUACAGAAAAAAGCAGAUCAACAUAUUAUGUUCCUUUUCUUCAUAUCGAAGUAUCUGUCGCCUAGAAAAACUCAUCCUUUAAUAGUUGAGAUAGUAGAGAUAUGAGGAGAUCACUGAUGGCUUCACUCAGCUUGGGUUCUUCAUUAAUUAUCAGAUACAUAGUUCCUUGUCCAUGUAUUAGUCCCUGACAGUAGUAUGGGGUUGAAUAUCGCAGGGCGCGUCUGUAGCCGGUAACAGUAGUAGUCCCUGACAGAGACACACAACCGGCUGUUCCCCUCUGUGGAAAGACGUGAAAGAAGAAGGUUAGGUACCAUAUGGAAGGACAGAGAACUUUUUCUGGCAUAUAAGCAUACCAACCAGGCGCACCUGAAUCGUUAUCACGGUUUCCUCUUGGUUGUUGUGCAACCUCCCAAGGGACAUUGUGCUUAGGGAUAUUUGGAUGCCAACCAAGCUCCCCCCUUGGAAAAAAGAGGGGAUACGAGAGCGGGUCAUAACAGCCAUCUGUGGCAUGUAUACUAUACUUCUCGUUGGUGUCCCCAUAGAGUGUAAUGCUGCGGUUGAACCUGUUUGCUAGAUCGCUUCCCUCGACCCAAAUCGCAGCCACCUCGGAUGACACGGGUCUAUUAUAUCUUCGUUGGUCUAGCUUCUGGUCAAUGUUGAGGUCUAUCCGGUACUCCUCGAGGUUUUCCUUGUGGGCACCCAAACUCCUAAACUGUUGGGAGUAGGGGUUUUCCCUGAGGACGUCCACUAACUUGCUGACAACGUGCUGGUCCAAUUGCUUGGUGGCCUCCUUGCGAUGGCUUAAGCUUGGAUCGUCAUCGUAGAAGUACAACUGCAGAUGUUCAGGGCGAGAUCUUGGACCGAACGAGUGCACCCUGUGGUACAUAGUGCCAUGUGCCCGAAACGUGUACACCCCGGACUUCAUGUUUGUGUAGUUGUUGUCUAGGCUGACGCCAAGGGUAGUGAAGGCAAAGUGCCCGUUGAAGAACCGAAUGCUCUCCCGGAAAUGCCGAGAGUCUGCAUCCGCGCUAGACCAUAACCUCAUCAGCUCUGGGAUAGGCUCGGGUUCAGCUAGCUCAAUCUCCCCGUUCCGACAGCAGAAGCCGUCAGUCUCGUACUGGAACUUCUUGGCCUUGCAAUGCUCGCAGUUUGCCGCGUGCUUUAGGAUGUGUGUGCUGUCUGGGAUGUUCGAGUAGACAUAGUCGAAAGGAUCUAGGUCGAUAGAUCCCGUGUUGGAGGAUUCUACGGGCUCAUCGAGGUCCGUGCUAUCAGUGUCGGAUGCUGCAAGCAUUGUGGAGAUAUAACAAGUCACGAUGGGAUGCACAUCAUAAACCAAUAAUAUAGAGGGAUGAGCAGCGAAAGGCGCCUCGGAGUACCUUCACCGGCAAAUAGGUAGUACUCAUCAUCCAUGAGGUCACCGGAGAGUGCAUUCUCGUCCAUGAUGCCGCUAAGGAAGGCCUCCAUGUCAGCUGUAACAUUGUUGAGCCGGUAAGUAAUGGUUUUUAUUGUGAGUGCACACCAGGAGGGGAGUAAACAUGAGAGGGUUACCAUUGGUUCCGAUGGUGUACGAUGGCAUGCUUGAUGAAGGGGAGGAAGCCGGUGAAGCAACUCCUGUGGGCGGUGCUUCUGAGCUUGUUGCUGCUCUGUUCACAUCUAAGGUACUUGCAUCUGGGCCUGGAGGCCUCCGCUUUUUUUGAAAGCUUGCAUUACGACGAUCUAGCAAAGCUGACUUCUCACCUUCUGGUAUGCUUUCCCCGCGCGCUCUUCGUUUUAAGGCACUCCCUUGAAUGUUCUUUGCUGUAAUACUUUGUUUGUGAGCUCGCUCCCGAGCCCUACGCUGUGCUCUGCUCUCCUGCCUCUGCUCCUGGGCUUGAUUCUGCUGGUCGUCUAUUUGGUGAUCAUUGGUUUGCUGCGAGGGAUUUAUGAGUUCGCUGGGGGCAUCAUUAUCAUCCAGGGUACGACUAAGGUACUCGCCUGCACCGCUGUGGAGCCGUUAAAUACUGGUUCAAUGCACAUGGACAGAACAAGUAGAGUAAAGAUGGAAGGAUUACCGUCUGAUUCGAAGUUGUUCCCAGCCUUACUCGCAAACCGGGGGGCAGGGGCAGGAGCUGAAGCUUCGGAUUCUCUGAAUGCCAACGCAUGAGUGCUCGACAUCAGGUUGGGUGUAGCUAAGGCACCUGCAUCAGGGCGCGGCAUUGCAAUGAAUUCAGCGCAAGGGGUGUUGUGCCUAGCCGCGAGUCUCUUCUUGCGCUGAGCUAGCAUGUUCUGCUUCUCCUUAGGUGAUUUGUUUUGCAGACGUGUUCUUCGGCGGGUGUUUGUCUCUUGGUUGUCAUGGACUGCCAUAUUUUGGUAGGCCGCCCUUCUAAGGGUGUUACUCUGUUGCUUCUCCUCUGGUGUCAUUCGUUGCCUGGCUUCUCUUUGACGGGCACUCCUCUCCUACUCUGUUUUUUUCCUAGCUUCUCUGCGACGUGCAUUGAUUUCCUCCUUCUGUUCAGGUGUUAAUCUAUUUCGCCGUGCCAUAUAUUGGUCUCGCCUUUUCUGUUUUCUAUCUGAUUUAAUGAUAUCAUUUGAAGCAAUGUGCUCGGGGACAGUGUCUUCAGUGUCGAGUCCAAGUGCUAUGUUUGAACCAAUAUUAUGAUCAAUGCUUCUCUCUGUUCCUCGAAGUGAUGCAUGGUGAUCAUAGUAAGUGCCUUCACGAGAAUGAUUUCCUGAAGAACCAUUUUGUUUUAACAAAUGUAUAAAUGCAAACUGAAAAAAAGUCGUGUGUAAGGGCGAUACCGAUUGAUGUUUCCACAUGCGGCACUGGCUGAAAGGCCUUGAGAUUGCUGGCUAUAGGAAUCAUCAUAGGCAGUUGCGUCGGCACAUUGUCAUCAUCAUCAGAAGACGAAACACUAUAGUUAGUAGUGCCUGUUUGUUCGCGUAUGAAAAAACCAGAUGGUGGUCGGUGUGUAUUGGUGAGUUGUGAUCUGGGUGUCCUCUCAUAUUCGACAACUGAUAAGAUUAAUGUAAGUUAAGUUGUGAAGUUUAUUGAAUACCUUAUGUGCAGACAUGUGAUUGGCAUACACAUACCUUUUUUUCCUUUAUCAUAGAGAUGCUCUCUGUCCUGUGACAUCUUUCUGUCCUAUAGAAGCUUAAAUAAACCUGCAGUCUUUUUGCAUUAAAAAAUGAUAUGAAUUGAAUUACAAAAAUGAUAUGACCUCUGGUGACUCAUUUAACAGGCUUUUUGGGCUCACUUGUUCAUUUUGAUAGACAUGUUCUUCGCAUAUGGUUUUAAAAUGAUUGUGCUAUUAUAUGUUGACGGCUGAAGUUUGUAUAUUUCAGUUUAUAAAGUGCAAGAUUUUGUAGAAGUUCAAUUUUUUAAAAAGAGGGCUUAGACAUGGCGACAAGAAUGAAGGUGGAGGGGAAGGAGUGGAGAGAAAGAUGUCUGUCUCCACGUGGUGCGAAAAAGACUAUACAGGAUUCUGUAUUAUGCCGCGUUAAAACAAUCUGGAAUAUAAAGGAUUCUGGAGUUUAUAAAGUGCAAGAUUUUGUAGAAGUUCAAUUUUUUAAAAAGAGGGCUCAGACAUGGCGACAAGAAUGAAGGUGGAGGGGAAGGAGUGGAGAGAAAGAUGCCUGUCUCCACGUGGUGCGAAAAAGACUACAGGAUUCUGUAUUAUGUCGUGUUAAAACAAUUUGGAAUAUAAAGGAUUCUGGAGUUUAUAAAGUGCAAGAUUUUGUAGAAGUUCAAUUUUUUAAAAAGAGGGCUUAGACAUGGCGACAAGAAUGAAGGUGGAGGGGAAGGAGUGGAGAGAAAGAUGUCUGUCUCCACGUGGUGCGAAAAAGACUAUACAGGAUUCUGUAUUAUGCCGCGUUAAAACAAUCUGGAAUAUAAAGGAUUCUGGAGUUUAUAAAGUGCAAGAUUUUGUAGAAGUUCAAUUUUUUAAAAAGAGGGCUCAGACAUGGCGACAAGAAUGAAGGUGGAGGGGAAGGAGUGGAGAGAAAGAUGCCUGUCUCCACGUGGUGCGAAAAAGACUACAGGAUUCUGUAUUAUGUCGUGUUAAAACAAUUUGGAAUAUAAAGGAUUCUGGAGUUUAUAAAGUGCAAGAUUUUGUAGAAGUUCAAUUUUUUAAAAAGAGGGCUUAGACAUGGCGACAAGAAUGAAGGUGGAGGGGAAGGAGUGGAGAGAAAGAUGUCUGUCUCCACGUGGUGCGAAAAAGACUAUACAGGAUUCUGUAUUAUGUCGCGUUAAAACAAUCUGGAAUAUAAAGGAUUCUGGAGUUUAUAAAGUGCAAGAUUUUGUAGAAGUUCAAUUUUUUAAAAAGAGGGCUCAGACAUGGCGACAAGAAUGAAGGUGGAGGGGAAGGAGUGGAGAGAAAGAUGCCUGUCUCCACGUGGUGCGAAAAAGACUACAGGAUUCUGUAUUAUGUCGUGUUAAAACAAUUUGGAAUAUAAAGGAUUCUGGAGGAGUCUAGGAUGGCAAAACUGGGGCGUGAUGGGCAGCAUGAAACAUAACAAAGGUGGAUAUCCGUCAUUUGCCGUCGGAGAGGAAGAAGACGGUAGGCGGGCUCAGAAGAUGACGCAGAAACAGCCGUCGAGCGAGGCGAUUAGCAGAGGCUGCAGCUCCCACAGCUCGCGUUUCUGUUUUGGCAGCGUGCGCUCGCGUGUGGAUGGAGCUCGUACGCCAGGAAGAAUUGGCGUCUCGAUGGAGCUCGUACGCCAGGAAGAACUGGCGUUCGUUGGACCUCGUCCUCGUUCGUGGGUUGCGGAGCUGUUUUUUUAUUGACUGGGGGCUCAGGAGAUGACACAGAAACAGCCGUCGAGCGAGGCGAUCAGCAGAGGCUGCAGCUCCCACAACUCGCGUUUCUGUUUUGGCGGCGUGCGCUCGCGUGUGGA